UAGAGCUAUACUAGCUUCCCUGCUAAAACUUUCCAUUUAGGCUUUCUGUCACUGGAUAACUCCAGGAGUCUUCUUAGUUGCUGCCAAGGAGUUAGUUACUUCUAACCAAAGGAGAAAAAAUUAGAAAAAAAUAUUGGAGACUAUCAUUGGAAAUAGAAAGUGAACAUUUGUCAAAUGCCUGGUCAUUCAGUUUAACCAGCUAAACAUAUCUUGUAUGAAUGUCUAUGUGACAUGCACUAUUGCUUGAGGUUGGCAACACAAGAUGAACAAUAGAAAACUCCUAUUCUUGUGGAGCUUAUUCUCCAUUCACAUGGUAGUCAGAUAAUAUCAGUACAGUCGGUUGUGUGUUGAGUUAGAGGUCAAGGGAACUGGUAGAGCAUGGAGGAAAGGCAUACUCUCACAGAGCAAGGAGGUGUCCCAGACAGCUACACAAUAUCCAUAAAAAUAAUUCUCGUAUCCUUUGAUAUCACUGCUACCAAGUGAAAGCUGUAAAAUUCAGAAGUAGAAUGUAUCACUUAUUUCUGCAAGACUCCAGUGUAAGAAUUGUGGUGUUUAAAGAAGGCAUGUAGUGAUGGAUUUGCUGUAGCACUAUUACCACAGAGUAAAAGCAAAAAUUGACACUCUCCCUAGGAAUAACUUCCUAGCUCUGGUGGAAGUCAACUUCAGGAAUAGGUUUCCCAUGCUGCUGCUUAUGAAACGGAGUAACUGCACUAUUCCAGACCUUCAAUCCCACCUACCUUUCUUGGAAAUGACACUGCUGCCACCUACUAUGAAUGGGAGACAGAAACCUGGGACAGAUUCCCCAGGACUGUUAGGGUUCAACCUAUCACAAUGUGCUCAUCCUGCUUACCAAAUAUGUGCUUCAGUAUUCAGUCUCUGA
rnacentral:lncRNA from 1 species